AACGAGACCUUAACCUGCUAAAUAGUCCGGCCGGCUUUUGCUGGUCGCAGACUACACAGAGGGACUGUCAGCGUCUAGCUGACGGAAGUUUGAGGCAAUAACAGGUCUGUGAUGCCCUUAGAUGUUCUGGGCCGCACGCGCGCUACCCCGACAGAGCCAGCGAGUUCUCACCUUGGCCCUUUCUUCUGGGUAAUCUUGUGAAACUCU
rnacentral:rRNA from 1 species